rnacentral:rRNA from 1 species
CCUACGGGAGGCAGCAGUAGGGAAUCUUCGGCAAUGGGGGCAACCCUGACCGAGCAACGCCGCGUGAGUGAAGAAGGUUUUCGGAUCGUAAAGCUCUGUUGUAAGAGAAGAACGAGUGUGAGAGUGGAAAGUUCACACUGUGACGGUAACUUACCAGAAAGGGACGGCUAACUACGUGCCAGCAGCCGCGGUAAUACGUAGGUCCCGAGCGUUAUCCGGAUUUAUUGGGCGUAAAGCGAGCGCAGGCGGUUAGAUAAGUCUGAAGUUAAAGGCUGUGGCUUAACCAUAGUACGCUUUGGAAACUGUUUAACUUGAGUGCAAGAGGGGAGAGUGGAAUUCCAUGUGUAGCGGUGAAAUGCGUAGAUAUAUGGAGGAACACCGGUGGCGAAAGCGGCUCUCUGGCUUGUAACUGACGCUGAGGCUCGAAAGCGUGGGGAGCAAACAGGAUUAGAUACCCUGGUAGUCCACGCCGUAAACGAUGAGUGCUAGGUGUUAGACCCUUUCCGGGGUUUAGUGCCGUAGCUAACGCAUUAAGCACUCCGCCUGGGGAGUACGACCGCAAGGUUGAAACUCAAAGGAAUUGACGG